UAAUAAUAAAAUGUACAUUUUAUCUGCAACAUGUGUUCAUGUUCGAUACACAUCACGUAAAUUAAUGGCGAAGUAAACGUACAUGUAUAGAAAAAAGAAAAAAAGUGAAGAAUGGCAGAUUACUAUCUUGAUUCAUGGGAAGACUACAAUAACCAGAAUAUGUUAGUCGUGUUUAUUGGUCUAGUUAUGAUUAUUGUACUUUUGGUAUACCUAUGGAGGUGUUGCAAAUGUGACGAAGAUACACCGGGGACGACAAUAACUCCAGCACGGCAACAAAUCCCGUUAGUUCCAUGCUAUGCCCAUGAGAUUGAACCAGGUCUUGUAGUGCUGCAAAGUCCGGAUGGUGAAUAUUUCAGGAUUUUGCAAGAGUAUGAUGCAACAAAACUCCCAAAACAACCAACCGCGUCGAACGGAUUACCUCAGCCCUUACAUUUCGUCCCACAAUUUACAAGGGCACAUUAUCAGACGCAUGCACAACCAACUGCACCUGUUAAUGAACAAUCACAUCUUAUUGAUUUUGGAGCAACUGCAAAUCCUCCACCUUACUAUACAGCAGGCGUACAUCCUUGACUUUAGAUGUGAUCAUAAUUAGAUUUAAGUGUUUUACAAUAUUGUUGUUUCUUUCCAAUUUGCAAAGGUUCAUAUAAUUGAUUAUAAAGUACACGUUUAAUUUUGUUAUGUAUACAUUAGACACAAAAAUAAGUUAUGCACUGAUAUUGCAUUACAUUGUGGUAUUAUUACUUAUAUCUUCCAUAACUUAUUUGUAUUUAAUAGUAAAUCAUACAAUGUCGGAUUGUAUUCUCAUCUACAUCAUGCAAUUUUAUUUCACGAAUAAAAGGUGAUGUUGGUUUAAUAUACCGGUACGUCAAUGACGCAGCAACCAAGCGACCCAACAUAACCAAACGACAUCUAGAGAACCACAAUAGACAAAUGAUUUAGCAAUAAAAAAAGAUGUAUUAACACAGAAGAAAUAUGAUUCUAUUAAUCUUUAAUGUA